UCAGGAUGAACGCUGGCGGCGUGCCUAAUACAUGCAAGUCGAGCGAACCACUUCGGUGGUGAGCGGCGAACGGGUGAGUAACACGUAGGUGAUCUGCCCAUCAGACGGGGACAACGAUUGGAAACGAUCGCUAAUACCGGAUAGGACGAAAGUUUAAAGGUGCUUCUGGCACCGCUGAUGGAUGAGCCUGCGGCGCAUUAGCUAGUUGGUAGGGUAAAGGCCUACCAAGGCGACGAUGCGUAGCCGACCUGAGAGGGUGAACGGCCACACUGGGACUGAGACACGGCCCAGACUCCUACGGGAGGCAGCAGUAGGGAAUCUUCGGCAAUGGGCGAAAGCCUGACCGAGCAACGCCGCGUGAAUGAUGAAGGCCUUCGGGUUGUAAAAUUCUGUUAUAAGGGAAGAACGACUUUAGUAGGAAAUGGCUAGAGUGUGACGGUACCUUAUGAGAAAGCCACGGCUAACUACGUGCCAGCAGCCGCGGUAAUACGUAGGUGGCGAGCGUUAUCCGGAAUUAUUGGGCGUAAAGAGCGCGCAGGUGGUUGAUUAAGUCUGAUGUGAAAGCCCACGGCUUAACCGUGGAGGGUCAUUGGAAACUGGUCGACUUGAGUGCAGA
rnacentral:rRNA from 1 species